UACGUAGGGGGCAAGCGUUGUCCGGAAUCAUUGGGCGUAAAGAGCGUGUAGGCGGCUCGGUAAGUCCGCUGUGAAAGUCCAGGGCUCAACCCUGGAAUGCCGGUGGAAACUGUCGAGCUAGAGUCCGGGAGAGGCGAGUGGAAUUCCUGGUGUAGCGGUGAAAUGCGCAGAUAUCAGGAGGAACACCAAUGGCGAAGGCAGCUCGCUGGGACGGUACUGACGCUGAGGAGCGAAAGCGUGGGGAGCAAACAGG
rnacentral:rRNA from 1 species